rnacentral:rRNA from 1 species
UACAGAGGAUGCAAGCGUUAUCCGGAAUGAUUGGGCGUAAAGCGUCUGUAGGUGGCUUUUUAAGUCCGCCGUCAAAUCCCAGGGCUCAACUCUGGACAGGCGGUGGAAACUACCAAGCUGGAGUACGGUAGGGGCAGAGGGAAUUUCCGGUGGAGCGGUGAAAUGCGUAGAGAUCGGAAAGAACACCAACGGCGAAGGCGGCUAUCUGGACGGUUUCUGACACUAAGACUCGAAAGCGUGGGGAGCAAACAGG